AAGCGAGGAAAGAGGCCGAAACAAAAUAAACACGAAAAACGUCCACACGCCAGCGGACGCGCAGAGGCGGUCAUGAGCGCACGCGGCGAGCACUCUCGCUCUGCCUGUCUUGACUGCGCCAAAGGCUGGAAAUGCGCUCGCUGAAGAGCCCAAGUCGAAGCAUCGCUGAGUGAGAGAGAAGACGGAAUAAAAGACGGGCAUCGCUUCCACUGCCGUGUCGGCGCACCGCCGCGCAUGUGGAACCACGCUCACGCUUCGCAAGCAUACAAGGUUGAACCGCAACCAGAAGACGAAAGACAAUGAUGACCAGCGGCGCCUCUCUCGACGGUGGCGAUACCGCAUACCUCGGCGACGGUCAUCGCAGCAAUCAAGAUGUAUGUGACAGCUCCUCGACCUCCUUCCCACUUCAAGUGAAGUGGGUGGACGCAGCGACGGGUGUAGGUGCCUUUGCGACUCGCCUCUGCCAGGCAGGCGACCGCGUUCUCUGGGAAGCUCCGUCGGUGUUUGCGCAGUCUUACAAGACGUGGAACACGUGUCCAGCUGAGACGCAAAGCCACGCGGCCGAACCGGUCUUUGCCAAAGACGUCAGCAAGACGGUUGAUGAGGGAGCGAUGGAGGUCUACGGCGCCGUGCAGCAUGAGCCCUGUGCAAUGGACAGCUCUCCACGGCAGAAACUAGGUCAUUGCACCCCCUCUGUCUCCACCGACGAUGUUGAACAGGGCAGCUGCGAUAGCCGUAUGUCUGAAGAGGGUGCUGCGACAGACGAGCAACUGCAGUGUGUGCGGUGCUGCUUUGGAUGUGGGGCACCGCUGCUAGCGUUCUUGCGGGAGGAGUGCAACCGGCUGGACGGCUUGUUGCAGGAGCUGGAGCGGAGCAGCGACGUAGAGCCCGGCGCCACCUCGCCGAGGGGCAUAAACGACGGCAUUACCCCAUCGACGUGGGAGCUGAUCCACCAUGCAAAUGUGCAGCAUCUCGCGCAGGCGCCCGGGGAAACACCUACGGAUGCACCCCUGUCAGCGCGCUAUGCCCAGACGGCUGUCGAGGCAGCCGCCACCGCUGGAAGCCCACGACCGUACGUGACGGAGGUGGAUGUGGUAGGGCGGCAUCACUGCGUAUACUUCUGUACGCCUGCCUGCGAGACGCACAGUCUCAUCGAGGAGGGAAAGCGCUUUGUUCUGACCUCGCCGCAGCACGGUCAUCCGCCCAUGAACGGCGCCGCACUUGAAGGCGCAGAGGAUGGUAUGCCCUCCGCCGUGGCUGCUGUGUUGGCUUCAACGGCGCCGCCGUCAGCACAGGCGCCACUCGUCUCGCUGCUCCGCUAUCCCACUGCUGAUGCCAUCGUCACCUUUGCGCAACACCCGCCAUCGGUUGCCCUGCGGCUGGGGGCGUGGCCGACGCGGCUUGACGCGCUCUCCUCCCUUCACUCCGUCGCCCGUCGCUGCAACGAGCGGGUUUGGCUGCUAGCUCUUCUUCUCGCUAAACAUCUACGCUUCACGCUGGCCUCGGCACCCGUGUCGAGUACACCUCUGCCGCAACCGCAGCGCUUUGUGGCGUGGUUGGAGGACGCCGUCGCCCCGAGCUUCCGCAGCCGGCUGGAGGGCAUGUUGGCGAGCUACGCUGAGGGCGCCAUGCAGCUCCUCUCCGUGGAGCAGCGAGCGUUGCUGAGGUUCAGCUGGCACCUACUGACAUGGUGGUGGCUCCUCUGCUGCGCAGAGGAGUACAUGGCAAUGGUGAUCACAGCCUCAAGCGUGAGCGGUACAGGCUCUACAUGGUUGUCGUCGUCUGAUCCGCGUCACCCACCGCUGAAGCGCCUGUGGCCGUCGCCCUCUGCGACUACCAGCGAGGCGCAGGCUCUGAAGUGGGUCACCGAGGCCAUCGCCGUGGCGCAGUCUACAGCCUUUCCCCUCCAGCUGUACCUGCAGCUGUAUUGGCUGACGAACGCGAAUGCCCACAUGUACGUCGUCGCCAGCCCUCUCUACACAUUGUGGUGUCGGUGGCUGCGAAGCAAGGCUGAGGGCAGCGACGCGGCAGGCACUGACGAAUUUAAGGUGGCUAGCAGCGAAGACGGCACCACCGCACAGGCGGCGAGCUCGGUCAUGCUGCUCGAGCGCCUCUGCAAACUCUUUCACACGAGCAACACGGGAAGGGCAGACGCCGCAGUAGGGGCAAAGGCAGCGCGGAGCCCCGGUGUGGAGAACUCCCUGCAUGCCACUGGUGUGGCCCUCUACAAUGUCGCCACGAAACUCAACCACAGUUGUGUGCCAAACGUCUUCUUUCAGCCCACCAUGGGGCCUGUGGCGGCGUCGGUAGUGGCGCUGCGAGCGAUCGAAGCCGGUGAGCAGCUCUUCACCAGCUACAUCCGUGUCGAAGACUUUGGGGAGCACACAUGUGCCACCGCCGCCGCCGCGCGGCGGCGCUACCUGAAGGACUACUACGGCUUUGAGUGUCGGUGCCCUGUGUGUGCGCUCGCAGUGUCAGAGACGGGGAUCAUACAUGAUAAAGCGGUUUCGGCGUAACCCCUCUUCUCUUCAUGACGCAGAAGGCAGGUGACACAGGGUAGCAUGGUAGCAGGGCGGCAUGCGAGCCCCCCGCUGCAGCACCUUCUCACGGCUUUCGGCAACCGCGGCCUCCACUCCUCAGGGAAGAGAAGGGAGGCACGCGGAAGUGGGAGCUGGGCAGUUCAACGCCCUCCGCUGCUGGCGCCCUAUGGAGAGGCGAUGCCGGCCAAGCAAACAGAGCAUAAAAACGGGCGCGCCGAUGUCACCGUUGUUGGCGCUGCCGUUGAUGAUGGGUUGUGGUUGCCUGCCUGCCCCUUUUUGGGGGAGUGGAGGAAGAGGGGUAUCUGUCUUGCAUGUGUGCUGUCUCUCUCGUUUCCCGCGUCUUCCGCGCCAACCGUUGCUGCACCGACAGACAUAGAAGAAGAGCCAUCGUCAACGGGAUGAAGCAAACAGAUGGGCGGCAUCCCACCUGCUGAAGGCGUGUGCGCCGGUUUGUGCGUGGGCCUCUGCAUGCCACACAGUCGCUGUACCAUCACCGUCACCCCCUCUGAGGUACUCACCCCUUCUCCCCUUCUCCCCCCCCUCCUCCCCCCUAACACGCACGCACGGUCCGCCCCCUUUCUGCCUCCUAG
rnacentral:misc_RNA from 1 species